rnacentral:rRNA from 1 species
UUUUAUGGAGAGUUUGAUCCUGGCUCAGGAUGAACGCUGGCGGCGUGCCUAAUACAUGCAAGUCGAGCGAACGGACGAGAAGCUUGCUUCUCUGAUGUUAGCGGCGGACGGGUGAGUAACACGUGGAUAACCUACCUAUAAGACUGGGAUAACUUCGGGAAACCGGAGCUAAUACCGGAUAAUAUUUUGAACCGCAUGGUUCAAAAGUGAAAGACGGUCUUGCUGUCACUUAUAGAUGGAUCCGCGCUGCAUUAGCUAGUUGGUAAGGUAACGGCUUACCAAGGCAACGAUGCAUAGCCGACCUGAGAGGGUGAUCGGCCACACUGGAACUGAGACACGGUCCAGAC